rnacentral:misc_RNA from 1 species
GUACCAGCUGCCGCCGAGGCCGGAGUCGAUGGUGUGUCAGUGAGUGCAAGCACCUCAGCUUCCUCUGGCUGCAGAUCCCUCAAUAGAACGAAACCUGAGGGUGCACGCUUAACAGGUACGUACCUACUCGCCUCCAAAAACCUGAUAAACUUCUCCUGAGCAGGCACCACCCUGGCAGGAUUCGUCAAGAUUUCAAAAGUCGGCUCUGGCUCAGCCUUCUUUUCGGAGACACCGUCCACCUGCAUCUGCUGCUCUCCAUCCUUCUCGGAAGAAUUAUGCGCUUUUCCUGAAACUGAACCAGACGAAUCUUCACCGGAUGACUUCUCUAAGCUGGCCUUCAGUUCUGCAUCUUUUUUCGCUCUAGAUUUAGCUUUUGCAGUUGUAGAUAAAACAGCAGUGGGUAGCUUAACUGCUGAUGCUGACGUUGGGGGUGUGGUUGGGCGAGGGUACUCAAACAGAGAAGGUUUGGCAAGUGAUACGAAAUCGAACUUUGGUACUUUCAGGUCAUAAUUGAGUCCAACAAAUGCUGUCGGUGAAAAGGCGAGACUUACGAAAUAGAUGAGUGGGUACCAGUACCAAAAUUGGCUGAACACCGCAAGCCCAAC